rnacentral:tRNA from 1 species
AUUUAUAUAGUAUAAAAGUAUAUAUGACUUCCAAUCAUAAGGACUAAAUAAAAUUUUAGUAUAAAUA